CCUACGGGAGGCAGCAGUGAGGAAUAUUGGUCAAUGGACGAGAGUCUGAACCAGCCAAGUAGCGUGAAGGAUGACUGCCCUAUGGGUUGUAAACUUCUUUUAUCUGGGAAUAAAGCGUUCCACGUGUGGGAUUUUGUAUGUACCAUAUGAAUAAGGAUCGGCUAACUCCGUGCCAGCAGCCGCGGUAAUACGGAGGAUCCGAGCGUUAUCCGGAUUUAUUGGGUUUAAAGGGAGCGUAGGUGGAUUGUUAAGGCAGUUGUGAAAGUUUGCGGCUCAACCGUAAAAUUGCAGUUGAAACUGGCAGUCUUGAGUACAGUAGAGGUGGGCGGAAUGCGUGGUGUAGCGGUGAAAUGCUUAGAUAUCACGAAGAACUCCGAUUGCGAAGGCAGUUCACUGGACUGCAACUGACACUGAGGCGCGAAAGUGUGGGUAUCAAACAGGAUUAGAUACCCCGGUAGUC
rnacentral:rRNA from 1 species